AUAAGUGUUUUUUGUUUUAACACUUGCAAAUUGCGUUGUGUCACAACUAACAACACCCCCCGAGUAGCAGCACCAUGGCCAGAAGAAGACGUCAAGACAAAGGUUAUCUUCAAGCACUAUUUACGAAGGCUAAAAAUCACUGUUCUAGCCGGCAUUCCGAUACUGUCCACGGCCUUUAUCGCAAUGAACCAGCUUACUAUUUCAACCAACUUGAAAAUAACACCAUGAUGCCAAGUGUGAAGGACAACGGCGGGGAUCCACGCUGUCCCAUAAACGGGAAACUUGAAGGUGUGUUCUUCGGGGUGACCCUUUGGAACGGAGGUCUACCAACCAAAUCCCCUUAUGGAAACACCAGAGUAGUGGUUCCCCUGGAGAGACUCUUUGAUGACUCUGCCAGGCUGUACUUCGCCGAUUUCUACUGUAUGCAAGGUCAAAGGAAUAAUCACUAUGUCACAUUAGUCCUCACAGAACCUGAUACUGAAGCUGACCUCUUCUGCAAGCAGCAUCUCAUUCGUUUGAAAAAACGAAAGAACGUGUUUCUGAGGAAAGAAAAGCGCACCUACCAAACUCUCCGGCAGCACAACGUAUGGGUUGAAGUCUUCUAUACAGAUGAAGUGAACAUAUCGGGGCUGAUGCGGUAUCGAACUGGAGUGAUCGGGAGAGGAAGCAGCUCAGGAGAAUAUUUGCGAGAGCUGCUAUAUAAAGCCAACGAACACUGUGAUGGGGCCGACAGUGAAACAGUGUUUGAGCUCUACCGAAACAAGCCAUCAUCCUACUUCAGGAGGAUACGUAGACGUCAUGGUAACAUAAUGGAGCCGCGUUUGAAGGACAAUGGAGGGGAUCCCCUCUGUCCAAUAAACGGGGAGCUUAAAGGUCUCUUCUUUGGGGUGACCCUGUUCGACGGUGAUUUGCCUGACAGUUCGCCGUUCGGAGAUACCCGAGUGACGAUACCGCUUGAUGAAGUCUUUGACGAAUCAGCAAAGAUUUACUUCGCGGAUUUCUACUGCAAGCCUUCACGUAAUCGUAUUCAUUACGUGACCUUGGUACUUACAGAAGCAGGGUCAGAAUCUGAUCUAUUCUGCAGGCGACACCUCAUCGAGCUCAGUCCGUACAGGAAUAUCUAUUUGAAGAGAAGGCGACAUUCUGACGAAUACAAGACAUUGGACCAAUAUGAAGUACAGGUGGAAGUCAUGUAUACUGAGAGUAUUGACUUGUCCGAGUAUUGUCUUACUUCUACCGAUAUCAUCGGUCGAGGCCACAGCACACCAGGGGGAAUAAGCAAGUCUGAAGACUGUGAUAUUUGCAAUGUCUAGAGAUGAUGUGUCAUUGGUGGGUGGGAAACACCGAACACGUACUGACAGGCUUGUGCCAGUACCAAGACGAAACGACUCUGAACGGUAUUGCUUUGUGAAGUGAAAGUCAACAUCAACCCAUAGAGGAAAGAUUGUGACCUACAUUUGUUAUGCUGCUUGUGUGUACCAACAGACACGCAUGCACGCACAAUGCACACACGCACGCAAACAUUCACAUGUAUACUAGGUUUUAUGAGCCAAGCAAGAUAUAUCACUGGCUUGCAAGACACAAACAUUCACAUGUAUACUAGGUUAUAUGAGCCAAGCAAGAUAUAUAAUUGACUUGCAAGACACAAACAUUCACAUAUAUACUAGGUUAUAUGAGCCAUGCAAGUUACAUCAUUAACUUGCAAGGCACACCCAUAUAAAACUCAAACAUUCACAUCUAUACUAGGUUAUAUGAGCCAAGCAAGUUAUAUCAUUAAUUUGCUAGACUCAUAUGAAUACUUAUUAAUGUAUAUAUCUGGUGUUUGUGGACAGACACUUAGUUACAUAGGCGAUAACCUGGAAGAAUUCUGCACUGAAUAGUUUAAAACAUAAAGGCCAGCGUGUUAGAUCACUAUAAAACGUUUACUUACGGACAGAAACUACAUACAGUAGUUUUUCUGAAAUGAAGAACAUCUUCAAAUUCUAUGUAAAUAAUACUUAUUUUAGGACAUGUCUGUUGAGUAAUACUUUCUAAAGUUUUUACUAUAGGUUCCUUUUCUGUCCUGCUAGCCUUGUGGAUAUGAUGAGGAAUGUGGCUAAAUCUUUACAAUAAAGGUGUUUUGAAAAUAUUCUUGUAAAGUUAAGCCUGUUUUUAAUAUAUUGAAAAAAGUACUAUUUUUGUUUCCAUUAAGUGAAUCAUCAAAUCUAUUUUCUGAAUUAGUUUUUAGUUUUACAGUGUGGUGUAAAUUGUAAUUAUGCAUUAUCUCGAUUCAUUUCUAUCAUUGUGCAACAUGUAUAUGAAAAAAAGUUACUAAAUGUGUACAUAGAUGUUAUAUCAUGUUGUGUAAAAUGUAUACUUUUAAUAAUAUUGUACAUGUUAGAUA
rnacentral:misc_RNA from 1 species